GGCUGUCACAAGGGUGGGUUUCCUACCCAGAGAUCCUGCUUUCUGGAGGGUUUGGCAAGCUCUGAUCCUUGGGAAAGAAAUUUGGGAACCAUCAAGAGCAGUGACCCUGGUAACAUUCAAAGCAAGUGGUUGAGGUUUCAAGCUAGAGGUGGAGGAGGAAGCUCCUGAUUUUGUCAGCCACCAGCUGCAGGUAUGAACAGUUGAGAUGAACUCAUUUCCUCAAGCAAUGGACAAUUGUAACAUUUUCUGCCUUCUUUGCCUCUUGUCUAGAAAAAUGGCAAAGUGAGCUUUCAACUUCCUAUCUGUUUGAAGCUUCUGACACCAGCUAAGAAAAAGUGCAUCUUCCCAUGGGGAAAAUGCAUGUGCUUGAGCCAGG
rnacentral:lncRNA from 1 species